GGGGCGCAGCAGGCGCGAAACCUCCGCAAUGCGAGAAAUCGCGAUGGGGGGAUCCCAAGUGCCACUCUUAACGGGGUGGCUUUUCUUAAGUGUAAAAAGCUUUUGGAAUAAGGGCUGGGCAAGACCGGUGCCAGCCGCCGCGGUAACACCGGCAGCUCUAGUGGUAGCCAUUUUUAUUGGGCCUAAAGCGUUCGUAGCCGGUUUGAUAAGUCCCUGGUGAAAUCCUGUAGCUUAACUGUGGGAAUUGCUGGAGAUACUAUUAGACUUGAGGUCGGGAGAGGUUAGCGGUACUCCCAGGGUAGGGGUGAAAUCCUGUAAUCCUGGGAGGACCACCUGUGGCGAAGGCGGCUAACUGGAACGAACCUGACGGUGAGGGACGAAAGCCAGGGGCGCGAACCGGAUUAGAUACCCGGGUAGUCCUGGCCGUAAACGAUGUGGACUUGGUGUUGGGAUGGCUUCGAGCUGUUUCAGUGCCGAAGGGAAGCUGUUAAGUCCACCGCCUGGGAAGUACGGUCGCAAGACUGAAACUUAA
rnacentral:rRNA from 1 species